rnacentral:rRNA from 1 species
AUUGAACGCUGGCGGCAGGCCUAACACAUGCAAGUCGAACGAGUGGCGGACGGGUGAGUAAUGUCUGGGAAACUGCCCGAUGGAGGGGGAUAACUACUGGAAACGGUAGCUAAUACCGCAUACCAUCGGAUGAGCCCAGAUGGGAUUAGGUAGUAGGUGGGGUAACGGCUCACCUAGGCGACGAUCCCUAGCUGGUCUGAGAGGAUGACCAGCCACACUGGGACUGAGACACGGCCCAGACUCCUACGGGCGGCAGCAGGGGGGAAUAUUGCGCAAUGGGCGCAAGCCUGAUGCAGCCAUGCCGCGUGUAUGAAGAAGGCCUUCGGGUUGUAAAGUACUUUCAGCGGGGAGGCGUUACUCGCAGAAGAAGCACCGGCUAACUCCGUGCCAGCAGCCGCGGUAAUUC